GAUGAACGCUGGCGGCGUGCUUAACACAUGCAAGUCGAACGAAGCACUUUAUUUGAUUUCCUUCGGGACUGAUUAUUUUGUGACUGAGUGGCGGACGGGUGAGUAACGCGUGGGUAACCUGCCUUGUACAGGGGGAUAACAGUUGGAAACGGCUGCUAAUACCGCAUAAGCGCCCAGCAUCGCAUGAUGCAGUGUGAAAAACUCCGGUGGUAUAAGAUGGACCCGCGUUGGAUUAGCUAGUUGGUGAGGUAACGGCCCACCAAGGCGACGAUCCAUAGCCGACCUGAGAGGGUGACCGGCCACAUUGGGACUGAGACACGGCCCAAACUCCUACGGGAGGCAGCAGUGGGGAAUAUUGCACAAUGGGCGAAAGCCUGAUGCAGCGACGCCGCGUGAGCGAAGAAGUAUUUCGGUAUGUAAAGCUCUAUCAGCAGGGAAGAUAAUGACGGUACCUGACGAAGAAGCACCGGCUAAAUAUGUG
rnacentral:rRNA from 1 species